UGGCCUCCAGCUCUUGUUCUCAGUAUGUAGCCCAGGCUGGCCUCCAGCUUGCACUCUGAGGAGAUGCCUGGGAAGGUUUCCUGCAGCUCACAAGCCAGUUGUCCUAGAUAAAUUGGUGAGCUCAAGGUUCAGUGGUAAACCCUGUCUCAGAAAAAUCAGCUAGAGGGGUGGAGAGAGGGCUCAGUGACGGUGUUAGAUACUUUUCUAUUGCUGUGCUAAGACAUGUCAACUUGAAAAAUGAAGAGUUUAAUUGGGCUCUGGCUGAUCAUGAACUUGAAAGCCUCCCAAGUGUUGGUCCUGGGAUUAUGGGUAUAGUAGGAAUUUUAUAUUCUAUCUAGCCUGUAUAAAAGACACACCAUCCCGGUAUUUUAUUUACAGCUGUAAGCCUAGAUUUGGCAGCCUUGGAGCUAGACUAGCUUACAUUGCAGCCAUACGUCCCUGUUACUCGCUGUUUCUCUUGGCCACGUGCUCAUGGUCCAUCUCCUUUCAUUGUGACUUCCUCCUCUCUUCUCUCUGUUUUCUCCUGAGACUCCUUACUUGAUCCUCAAAAAGCCUUUCUCUCUCUACUGACCAAUCAUGGGGUUCAGCCUUUUAUUGACCAAUUCAUUUGAGAAGCAAGGCUUGUACAAUGAAAACUGCUCAUUUUGGGGCAACCAGAUCUUGGGGUACAGGAUUUAGCAUUUGAAUACAUAGCAGCACCAGACCAACCACAACAUAUGGGUAUAUGUCUCUGUAACCCACCUUCUGCUCUUCUUUCUUGAAUACUCUUAACAUUCCUAACACUCCUUAAAUAUUUCAACUUACGUUUCUUUCUUCAUCUAGAAAUAGCAUCGCCCAUUUUCUUUUUCAAUUCAUCUGCGUUGUAAGGGAAGAGACUACAGUGGGCAAAGGGGAAAAUCUGUGUUUGAUUUGGGUGAUGGAAAAUAAUGACUUAGUGUUGCCUCAAGAACCUGCUGUCCUUGAGUCACACUGUAUACAUAGCAGUGGCUUUCAGGGGCAGUUUCUCCCUGGCCACGGAGGACACCUUGAGGAUGAUUCAUGGUUUACGCAAUGACUGCCCUGUAGCUAAAUCGGGAGGCCACAGGUUUACCAACAAACUGAAGAGUGAGUCCUGAGCAGGAAUGAGAGGCCAGAAGCUCAGAGAAGGCAACAGGUACCUCCUUCUGCUACAGGCUCUUGGGCAGAGGCUAUGGAACAGCUGCUGGCCAAGAGGGAAGUCCAAAAGGCAGAGGAAACUAAAUACACCCUGUGGUAUUUUACCAGGGAAAAGCAACAGGACUUCUUGCUGUGGGGAGAGGGACAAGCAACUGAACCCACUUAGUCAGGUGAAGGGGUUCACCUGUGAGCAAUGGAUUAGGGGUGGAGCUUUACAUGGAUGGCUUUACAGAAGAGGGGUGUGUGGGAGACGGGAGAGACAGAGAUCAGUCAUUCCUACAAAACCGUAAGCUAUUUGCUGACUCAAGGCAUGGAAAGUGGAAAGACGGAGUCUGAAAUUGUAAUGAAGCUAUGAUGUAUAAUUAUGUAAAGUACAUGUCCUGGGGAAACACUGGCAGUCCAGAGUUUGAGAACAGUGGCUGGGGCAAGAUCAAUGCAGGUAUGCUGUCUGUUUUCUAUUUCUACGCUGUGCGGUGUGAACAUGGGGUAGGGCUCGGGAGACAUUAAAUCUAGAGCCUAGUAGUAUGACCGUUGCCCCAGGGGUUAGGAGUCCUUUGUCCCCAGUGCACAGGGCCCUAGCAGCUGUGAACUUAACCUGUGCACAACCCAUGCACAGACAGUGAGAACAAGAAUUUGCCCUGCUCUAUGGGGGUAGUGAAGGCAUUUGGCGAGUCUGGGGGUAUUGCAGCUCUAAGAUGGGCGAUAUGGGAAGACUAAGAUCCCAGAACUCUGAAAUUUACCCUGAGUCUUAAGAGGUUUAACAGCCAUGGUGGAAACCGAGGGAUAUAUUCUAUUGAAAUAACAAGCAAGCUCCCCUUCUAUCAUCUUCUUGUGUUUAUUUCUGAACUCGAUUUCAUAACUCACCACCCUGGUUGAAUGAUUGUAGCACAAUAAUAUUUUAAGUACUUAUUUUAUUUUGUGUGUAUGUAUAUAUACCUAAAAGUAUGUAUGUGUCACCAGGUGUGCUCAGGAGGAGACAAGGUCAGAAAAGGCAUCAGGCCCUCUGGAACUGGACUUUCAGAUGGCCAUGAGCCACCAUGUGGGUGCUGGGACUCAAACGGUGUCCUCUGUGAGAGUAGUGGGUACCCUUGACCUCCACAGUGUCUGUCCGUCCUGCGCUGAGGAUAUUUUGAAUUGAGUUGGGCAAUGUUCUACAGUUGUUUUUGUUUUGUUUGUUUGUUUUUUUUUUGUUUUUUUAUUUUUUUCAGAAGUAGAACCCAGGGCAAGCAAGUCAGCUCAGCGGGUAAGAGCACUUGCUGUGGGAGCCAGAAGCCUGAUUUCCAUCCCUGGGACAUACUCGUGGAAGGAAAAAACCGAGCCCUGAUUGUUGUCCAUUGAUCUCCACACAAGCUCUAUGCACACAUAUGCUCCCCCAAUACCACUAACAAAUUAAAUCAAAUUAAAACGUGAGGAAAUAGUGGAGAGGCAGCUAUCAAGGAGACAGUCAAGCCUUAGAGCUGGUCACCAGCUAAGGGCACAUGGCACAUUGUUGGAGAGACAUGGGAAGGAAUGAGACCCAAGACUAGGACAGUUCACAUUCACAGUUUGCUGCUUCCCAUCUGAGGGAGCCAAGGUGCAGACCUCCAUCCUUUCAACCUCAUUGCCUGUCUCUAGGCUGAGGAGGUAGUUGGCUACUUCCAAGUGUUAAGGUAUGGAUUCAGGUCCUAAAUGUGAGCUUCUCUAACAUCUGGCCUGAUGUCUAGCCAUUGCUCACUGCCUGCGUUUCCUGCCCAUUUCUCUUGAAAUGCUGAGGGUUGAGUGCAGAGCGUCAUAAAAAGGCGAGGCAAGCGCUGUGCCCACGAGCUGCGUCCCAGCUCUCCUCCCUUAGGCAAACACUGUCCUGACUGACUGUUGUCCCCAACCGUCCUCCUCUAGGGAGUGCUCCACUGUUUAGCCACAUCCCAAUCUUCCUCCUGUUCUUCUGAAAGCAUUUCUAGCGAAAAGAACAUGGCUUCUUUUUGCUAGGCUCUCUUUCAUCUUCAAAAAGAGGAAAAGGAGCAAAAACUUAACACCAACUCCUAUACAACAGUUAAUGGGUUUGUUUUGCCCAACAAAUACAUGGAGGGGAAAGAGGCCAUUUACAUGUAUAUGUAUAACCCUACCUGAAUAUGGCAAAGCCCAAGAUACACUGGUCAAAGACCCACAAAGGUGCUGUUAUUCUGCAGCAGCAGAAAGGGAUGUCAAAUGGUAACAACAUCUCACGGCACCCAGGCACACCCACCAGGCCUUGAGGGGAUCUUUUUCCUGCAGAGAAAGGAGACAUUGCUGAUGAGUGAAGGGCCUCCAGGACAGGGCACAUGCAAGGCCCUCUCUCCUCUCUCUGUGUUGACAAGUUUGUACUUGUCAAAGUGAUUUGAGCUUGUACUCAACACCUCCCUUUCUGGAGUUUCUAGAAGAUGUUGGAUGGUUAAAGAGAUGUCACAGGGGGGCUCUGCCCAAAUUUCAGCAUCCUUAAGGAUGACUUUGGCAGGAGACCUCCAACAUCUCGUUAGGGAGUGAUGCUUGGUGCCCUGACAUGCUGUGAUGGAUCCAGCCAUUCCGGUGGAACAGAACCAAGGAGCCAAUGGUCAAAGAUCAUCUCAGUUCCCUUCUACUAGAACACAUCAAGCUUGGUUAAAGAUUACUUGUGGAGUGGCUUUGUGCCUAGAAAGACAAACAAAAGAAGGACAGUCUGACAUUCAGCGUCUGAGUUGGACAGACAAGAGACAAUAAAACAACGAUAAUGUGUGCCAUGUGUGGAUUUCCUGACAUUUGCUGAGCAGUGUCCUCAGUGCACGUUAUCUUGGAUUCCUUAAUUCUCUCCAGAAGUAUUUCUCCAAUGUCUGUUAUGUGUCAGGUGUUCUGGUUGGAGUACCACAGGGCACAGGGCAGGGAAACCUCUUGCUUUUGGAAAAUGGUCCAGUACAUAUAAACAGGGGAAUAUAUAUGAUCAAUGCCAAGGUCGUAGUGGUAAAGAACAACAAAGCAAGAGCCUGUGAGGGCUGGGGUGCAGGUAAGGAGGAGUUUUAGGCAGAGAUGUGGCUUGAGGGAUGGAGCAAGUGUCUCCAAGGCUGCAUGCUCCAGGCAGAAUAAGCCGUAUGCGUUGAGGCACAGGGACCAUGAGAAGGAACUUGGAAUCCUCAUGGUGGCUGGAAUGGGCUUGUAUGGAGAACUGGAUAAAGGGGCAAGAGAAUAAGCCUUUUAGAGGCAUUUCCCAUAGGAAAAACAAUCAACUCUUAUCAAAGACAACAGGAGGCUCCCAGAAGCCUCAUCUGCUUUGGCUGGAGAAUAUGGGGUUCAGAUCACCCUUUCCUACAACAAGGCAAGAAAAUUGGUCCCUGCAAACUGGUGUUGACAACUCCUUGUCUCUCAAGGGGGUUUAUGACAUGGCUGUAGGUCAUCUCUAGCUGAUAUCCCCAGCCCCUAGGGUAAUUAAUAGGGGUUCUGGGGCACAGCAUGGCAUUCACUAUUGGUUUGUUUAUUAUUAAUUUUCAAAACAACUCUCUGAGGGUGGGAUCUUUGUAUCCUAUGGAUUGCAAGAAACUUAGGGCCAGGGAUUUUAAGCAAUUCAUUCAAGAUCCUAAACCAAGGACAUGCUGGAUUUGAACCCAGAUCUCAUUGAAUUAGAAGAACAUAGAUUUUUGAAUUGAUGUACCACCAUUUAGAACAUCUAUCUCCAGAGGUUUUUUUUUUCUUAAUCUUGCAAAUUUGUAACUGAGCAUCCCAUGAGCCCCUCUUCCCAGUCUUUAGAAACUGCCAUUCUAUGGCUUGUUUUCAUGUGUUUCACUAGUCUGCUGUGUUGUGUGAAAUUUCCUGGAGGAAAUUCAACCAAAUACAUGUUGAUGUUUGAUAGAUACACUGACAGCAGAUAGGAGAAAUGCUUUCACCUAAGUUUAUAGCAGUUCCUCAUAGAAGCAUGGGGGUUGAGGGGAGGAGUGGUUACUUACAAAAAAAACAUGGGUGGCUUAGCUGCAUCCCUGAAUAGCCCAGCCCAGCACGGAUGACUGACAGCUCAUAGGAAGCUGCACUCCUGCCCAGCUUGCAGGCAGUUCCCCCCACUGAAGAGUCUUUUUUCUACUACUGAUUGCCUACUGUCCACAUAGCCUCAGGGGAGAUGCCAUGAGGUCUGCAGAGUCCUGAGUCUUGUAAGUUUUGUGAGUUUCCUGGGCCUCCUGAAGUUCCUCAGCUUCCUCAGUCUUAUGAACCUCUUUCCCUCCAGGAGCUAAUGUUUUAGUUUGGAAGAAGUAGGUACAGAGCAUCUAGGUACCUCAGGCCAAUGCAAUCACACAGUGUUGUCCCAAUAAGACUGCCUAGUUCACUGAGGACUUUCUAAGGCUCGUUCAUUUCACAGCAUGUGUCUGAGUCCCUUUCCUCUUUGAAAGAUAUGUAAUAUUCUAGUAUAUAGACAUACCACAGUUUGUUUAGGCAUCUAUCUACAGAUAGAUUGUAUCUAUUUUUGGCUUUUGUGAAUAAGGCUGCUAUAAAAAUACAUCAUCAAGUUCCCUCUUUUUUGGGGACCAGCACACACUUAGAAAUGAGAUUAUUUAAUUUUAGGAUAUUUCAAUUUUAUUAUUUAUUUAUUUAUUUAUUUAUUUAUUUAUUUAUUUAUUUAUUUAUUUACUUGAGGAAUCAUCAUACAACCACCAUGACCCUGCACUUGUGGGAAAAUGAGUACAGUAUGUCUCCACUUGGUUGUUUUUCUCCUCUCUCCUUUUUUCUCCCUCCCUGGCUCCUUUUCUUUGAUAAAAGGCAUAGAAAUAGAAGAGAAGUAAUGACUCAUCAUGUUUUUUUUUUUUUUUUUGGUUCUUUUUUUCGGAGCUGGGGACCAAACCCAGGGCCUUGCGCUUCCUAGGCAAGCGCUCUACCACAGAGCUAAAUCCCCAGCCCCUCAUCGUGUUUUUUUAAAAUAAAUUUUUAUUAUUUCCUUGAAAAUUUUGUACUUGUUUUGAUAAUAUUCACCCUCUCUCCCUGAACUCUUCCCAGAUUUGCCCCCUUUCUCUUCCUAACUUUGUGAUUUCUUUUCCCCUCUCAAGACCAAUUUGUGUGGCUCAAAUAUUCAUCGAUGAGUGGCCCUCCACUGACAGGUAGUAGACUUAUCUUGGUCUACACUCUUGGAGAAAGGUGACCCCCUCUUCUCCCAGCAGCCAGGAAUUGCUGGUAGCCUCAUUGCUAGGGGUGGAACUUCACACACAACUCUCCAUUCUAGGAUUUGGCUUGACUUAGGCUUGUACAGGUCUUGUGCAUGCUGUUGUGACCACUGUGUUCACAUGUGCUGCUGCCUGGCUGCAUCCAGAGGACAUUGUUUCUGGGUUGCCAUACACCGCCCCUGGCUUUCACCCUCUUUCUGCUCCUCCUCCCUGAGCCUUUGGGAGGGGGGGUGUGGCACAUGUGCUUGACUGUGCACUUCCAUCCAUCCUGUCAUUCUCCAAAAGGAAAAAAGAUCCCAAGUGCAUAUCCCAGCCUACUAUUCCACUGAUGGGUGAGCAUGGUGAGUCUUGAUACAAACUCAGUCAAUGUCCACAGAUUCCCUGGAAGCUACUGAGGACCACAUGAGGGAAAAACAACGGGGCUGGAGAGAUGGCUCAGUCGUGAAGAACACUGACUGCUCUUUAGGAGGUCCUAAGUUCAAUUCCCAGCACCCACACGGUGGCUCACUACCAUUUGUAACUGGGGAUCUGAUUCCCUCUUCUGGUGUGUCUGAAGACAGAGUACUCAUAUAUAUCAAAUAAUAAAUACAUAAAUAUCUUUAAAAAAAGAACAAAGUAAAAAUGGCUUCCAUAUGAAUUAGACUUUUGAUUAAGUUUUUUUUUUCUUUAGGACCCUAAAAUACUUUAAGGAACUAUGCUCUUAGGCCUGUGAGAUGGCUCAGCAGAUAAAUAUGCUCGGUAUCUUGCCAGAGGACCUUUUGGAAUCCACAUGGUGGAGGGAUAGAAUCAACGCCCAUGAGUCAUCCUUUGACCACCAUGUAAAUGCCCCUCCACACAAAUUAAUACAGAAAGAAAUGGACAGAGAGCUUCGCUUUUCUUUGCGUAUGUUAGAAAUGAUAUGUAGAAUUUGGUCAAAAACUUAAAAACUGCUGCCAGUGAAACAUCUCAAUUGAUGUAAAUAGUGAUAGCUUAGGAUGGUGACAUCACUCUCUCUCUCUUUUUUUAAUGUUUCUAAGUGACCUUGAGAUCUCAUUCCAGUUGGCUCCCUUCAUCCUCCAUUGAUGGAAUAACACACAGGCUCUCCUUAGCCAAGAAACAAUGUAUUCUGUUUUUUCUCAGAAAUUUCAUUUCCGUGCUACUUCAGAAUCUUAUGCUAAUGUAACAUAAUUAUGAUACAAAGUCCUUUCUGAAUACCAUGUUGUACUUUUUUCCACCAAGCCUAUGUAUAAGGAUGAAAAUUUAUACAUUUUUAAAUUCCAUGACUUAAGGCUUUAAGUGUUUUCAGGACUGAGUUCUCUUCACAAUGAGUAAUAGCAUGUGACUGACCAAAGCAAUAUAAAUGCAGAGGAAAUCUUGAUAAAGUGUGGCCAAAAAGGGAAAGUUGUGUUGAAGUUUGAAUCUCUUUAAACUUUCAUUUAUGUUUAUUUUAUGGGCAUUGGCAGUUUGCCUGCAUCUAUGUCUCUAUGAUGGUUUUGGAUCUUCUGGAACUGGAGCCACAGACAGUCAUGAGUCACCAUGUGGGUGCUGGGAACUGAUCUGGGUCCUCUGGAAAAGCAGUCAAUGCUCUUAAUCACUGAACCAUCUCUCCAGCCAUGAUUGUGGAUAAAUAUUACUCACUGCCAGAUUGCUAUGACUGCCAAGUAGGCAGCUUCAGUUCUAGUUUUCUUUCCUUUUAGAUUUAAGAGACUCCUGUACUUACAGAUGGGGAGAGUGUGAUUAGGAAAGCACCCUUUACCUUUUUCAACUCAUUCUAAAUUUUUUGCCCCACACCACGUGCUAAUCUAGUAUCAAACAUACUUAAAGAUCGGUCAUAUGACAUCUUUUAGAUCCUCUUUUAAAUUGGUUGAAAUUAAAUCAUUGCAAAACACCAGCGUUGGUUGCUUUACGCAUUGCUGCAGCACAAUGCCUGGUAAACCAACUUAGGGCUCACAGUUCCGGGAGCAGUCCCUUCCGGAGUGGGAGCCUUGGCAGUGGGAGCCUGAGGCAGUGGGUCUCCCUGCACUUGUGGUCAGGAAGCUGAGAAGGAUGAACUCCGGGGCCCGGCUUCUUUCCCUUCUUUCCUUUAUUCUGACAGUCAAGGUGGGUUUCCCUACCCCAGUUAACCUAAUCUAGCACCCCCACCCCCGGCAGACAUGCCCAGAGACCUGUCCUAUGGUGAUCCAAGAUCCUACCAAGAGGACAAUCAAACAGUUACAACACCUGAUUUGUGAAAUGCUUGCUGCCCAAUCCACUGUAGGUGGAAACUGUGUGUUUCUCAAAGCUCAAGGAUUGAACGUAUCACCCCCAGCACCUCAGAAUGUGACUGUAUUGGAAACGGGAUCUUUGUAGAUUUAAUUAGCUAAGGUGAGGUCACAGGGUGGUGCUGGGCAGAGCCAGGAAUGCAGGGGGAGAUGUAAAGAGAUCUGAGGAGCAGGCCUUCUACGAGCUAAGCAGAGAAGUCUGGGACAUUUCUCUCUCUUAGCUUUCAGAAGAACUAGCCGGUUAAUAAUUCAGAUUUGGAAUUCCAACCCCAAGCAUUGAGACAGUAAGCAUCUAUUGUCAUACCCCCAGUCUAUGAUAACUUGUUUCGUCAGCCCUUGCAAACUGUCACAUAGGUCUUGGAGCCAACCCUUCCCAGCUGUGAAUACCAUAGUUUCUAUGAUUUGGUGUCUAGAUGAGUUAUUUUAUUUAUUUUAUUAUUCAAAUUCUUGAAACAACAACAACAGAAAAAAAAAACCCAAAACAAAACCAGCCUUACACUGUAGCCCAGGCUGGCUUGGAUCUUAACUAUGUAGCCCAGGCUAGCCUUCAAUGCAAGGAACUCUUUGUGACUUAGCCUCUGAGCUAUGGAAGCAUGAGCUACCAUAGCCAGCUCAGGAGGGAGUUUUAAAACCUGAGAGCUAUGAAUUGGAGCAGGACUGAGUGAAAGGGAGACCCUUCUUUAGUGAAGGUCAUUUUAGAAAGAGCCCUUGUGACAGAUAGAUGUUUAAUACAAAACAGACACUGAAUUUAAAGACCUUGAGGUUAUUUUCCUUCAAAAUACAUUGGUCUGUGGACCAUGUUUUGGCCACUGAGGAAUUUGUGAAGCCAGUGUCCAGGGGUCUGUGUGCACUGCAGCGUGACUGCUAUACUCCAUGGAUGUCUUCAAGGAGGGCAGGCUAUCUGCUUAUGUAAGGAUUUAAUUAAUUUAUUUCUUUUUGUAAUUUAAUGAGGCAAGAUAUCUCCCCACAGCCCACUCUGGCCUUGAAGUCCCAUCGUGCAGCUUAAGGCUGGUCUUGAAUUUGCAGCAAUCACCCUGCCUCAGCCUGUUGAGCACUGGGUUCACAGGCAUGUACUGCUGCACUCUUGCCUCAAUUAGGAGGAGUAGCCAGCCAUAUUGCUCAUGUCCUCACAGGACUGUGUUUAUAGACUGCAUUCUGUAUUAGCCUUUUUUUUUCCCUUGAGAAAGCAGCAUAGUAGAGGUGCUGCUCAUGAAGGUGAGGCGGGGUAGCAGGAGCGGUGGGAAGCAGGUCAUUGAUGCCUGGCACAGUGUUGCUAGGUGGAGAAGCAGCUGUGUGUGCUGGCUGGGGGGAAACUGAAGUGACUGCGUGACAGGUGAAUAUGAACCCCCUGCUCACCGAACCUCACUUCACAGGCACCGCUCCAGGCUCAGACCCUCCUUGUCUUUCUCUAGGCUACUGCUGUCUUGGUCCUGAAGUGAGAAGGACGGAGUGUCCUAGAGAGGUUCAGCAAGGGAGCAGUCAUGCCCAUUGACUGUCCAUCCACUAUAGGCUGGAGACAGUAGCUGUGUGGACACCCUCACGGACGUGCAAAUACAGAUGUUCAUUGCUCACUAUACUCAUGGGAGUAGCUUUCUGUUGGGUGGGGUGAAGAUGGUCUUUAAGAGCCUUGUGUUUCCCAUCAGCCUUGAGGAGAUCCAUGCAAUAGGGUGCUUUUGGUACUGUCUGGGAAUUCACUGUCCUUUCUGUCCAUUUCCAAAUUGUUAAGGUGCUACAAUACAUCCGCUGAGCCUUGCAGAGGAGAAACUCUGUGAUUGGCUCUGUGUCUAAACUCUCUCUGUGGGCUGCUCAAUUUCUGGCCGAAUUAUGAGCUGCCCAGCUUAUGCAGGAAGCUCAGACAAAUCUUUCCUAGGCCACAGGGCCAUGCGACUCUGUGACUAUGAGCUUCUUCUAAGCAGGAAGUUCAGAGAGUACCAGGGUAACCCAGACACACAAGCUACUCCCUCUCCUGCAUGAGAGACCCAAGAGGGCAAAACAUGGGUUCUACUAUAGUGAUUCUUGGUUGAAAAAAAAAUGCUUCUUCAGUAUUUGUUAACUUUCAGAUAAGGUUUAAUUAUGUAUCCAAGGCCUACUUCAAAUUUGAGAUCCUCUUGCCUCUGCCUCCUAAGUGCGGGACCUACUGGUGUGUCUCUAGCAGAACCCUGGUUUCAUGUGAGAAGAAAUGUGGUUAUUAUCUUCUAAUGGUCUCGCUCAGGCACAGUCAUAGUAACAGUUACCGUUGCAGUCUGUGGGUGCUCCCAGCUCCUCAGAGGUUGUUCUUGACCAUGGUGAUGGUGACAGAGCCUACUGCUGUGUGGAUGUGACCAUGUGGUACUUCUGCCAAGGAUAGAAGGAAAGUAUCAGUAUGUGCAUGGGAACUCUUACCCACACGGACCUGACCCUUCUGUCCCUUACUUGUAUAAAUUUCUAGUUCUGUGGCUGAAGUCAAGACACAAGGUAAAGACACAAGGUGGGCUGGAAAGAUGGCUCAGUUGGUCAAGGGCUUGCCUUAUAAUCAUGAGAACCUGAGUUUGAUCUUCAAAACACUGUGGAAAACAAACAAGCAAACAAGCAAACAAACCAGCCAGUGGGGCAGGUAGCCUGUCAACCCAGCACUCUGGAGACAGCGCUUUGAAGAUCACUGAUCAGUCUGCUACGUUCCAGGCCAGAGACCCAAGAAAAUAGAAAAGACACAAAAGAAAGAAGAUGGAUGUUACCUGAGGAAUGCUGCCUGAGGUGACCAAAAUUUAUGACAUGGCCACCCAUGACUUCACAGAGUGAAAAAAGCACAUACAGUCUUACUGUCUGAGAGGAGUGAAGAUUGUUUGAGGGCACAAAGGACAAUGACGGAGAAAGAACGUGCUAAGAAAAAGUGUUUCCUGAAGCCUCUGCCCUUUGCCUCGUGUGGAAGCUUCUGUCUCCCAGGCUGAGCACCUCGUGGGCGGCAAGCGCUCAACACUUCAUGGAUAUUAUUUCUGAUCCACACGACAUCCUGUUAGGUAGAUACUGUUGUUACCUUCCGCGCACAGAUGAAGUUACUGAGGACCAGAAAGGUCUUGUGGUUGCCAGAGGCAGAUGGCACAGGGAGUGAAAAAUGAUGCUUGCGAAGCCCUCAGGUCAGCUUGAUUCCGGAGACUGUGUUCUUUGGUUCCCUGGAGGAGGAUGCCCAAUAUGACCGACAGCACUCCUGUUGUAACAGAAGGACCCUGAGCUUCAAAAUAUGGAGACCUGCUUCAGCCAGUUCUACAGGGAUGAGAGAGAAAGGGGGAAAUUACUUAGAAUGGCACCAACUAGAGAGAACCCCUAAUAUUUUAGGCAUGCCCUUGCUAAUUUGUAACCUGCUUCUUCAAAUAACAAUGCAUCCUGUGCUCUUUUCCAAUAAAGAGAGCUGUGGUUUUUAA